rnacentral:rRNA from 1 species
GAUACGGUUCUCAUGCUGGAGUGCAGAGAACCUCAAACGCUACGGCGCUACAGGAUGUGGCUGCGGCCGAUUAGGUAGACGGUGGGGUAACGGCCCACCGUGCCGAUAAUCGGUACGGGUUGUGAGAGCAAGAGCCCGGAGACGGAAUCUGAGACAAGAUUCCGGGCCCUACGGGGCGCAGCAGGCGCGAAACCUUUACACUGCACGCCAGUGCGAUAAGGGGACCCCAAGUGCGAGGGCAUAUAGCCCUCGCUUUUGUGUACCGUAGGGAGGUACACGAAUAAGAGCUGGGCAAGACCGGUGCCAGCCGCCGCGGUAAUACCGGCAGCUCGAGUGAUGACCGAUUUUAUUGGGCCUAAAGCGUCCGUAGCUGGCCGCGUAGGUUCGUCGGGAAAUCCACCUGCUCAACAGGUGGGCGUCCGGCGAAAACCACGUGGCUUGGGACCGGAAGGCUCGAGGGGUACGUCCGGGGUAGGAGUGAAAUCCCGUAAUCCUGGACGGACCGCCGAUGGCGAAAGCACCUCGAGAAGACGGAUCCGACAGUGAGGGACGAAAGCUGGGGUCUCGAACCGGAUUAGAUACCCGGGUAGUCCCAGCCGUAAACAAUGCCUGUUAGGUGUGGCACCGACUACGAGUCGGUGCUGUGCCGUAGGGAAGCCGAUAAACAGGCCGCCUGGGAAGUACGUCCGCAAGGAUGAAACUUAA